GCAAGUGAUGAUUUCGACAUUCUUCACUUUGACCUGAUUUUUAGUUUGAUGAUGAUAUUGUGUCUGAGC